UACAGAGGGGGCGAGCGUUGUUCGGAAUUAUUGGGCGUAAAGAGCUCGUAGGCGGUUCGUCGCGUCGGCUGUGAAAACCCGAGGCUCAACCUCGGGCCUGCAGUCGAUACGGGCGGACUGGAGUUCGGCAGGGGAGACUGGAAUUCCUGGUGUAGCGGUGAAAUGCGCAGAUAUCAGGAGGAACACCGAUGACGAAGGCAGGUCUCUGGGCAUUAACUGACGCUGAGGAGCGAAAGCAUGGGGAGCGAACAGG
rnacentral:rRNA from 1 species